UAAAACAUUUAAAUUCUGGGCUGUUUGUAACCUCUAAACAUGAAACAUUAGGUUGAGAAGGAAAGCAGAACUGGAAGUUCAGUAAAAAUAUGAAGAGUUAACAAUUCUGGUCCUACUUUUGGGACGAAAGUUUGAAAUUCUUUUUAGAAAGCAGUAACUGCUUUAGGAAACACUAAAUACCUCUGCUAAAUAAGCAGAAAUAAUGUGGUCAUUCCCUGAAAAAUGUUCACCAGUAGCAACUUUCUUAAUAGAUCACGGAUAAUACUUAAAUUUCUGUCAGUUGUUUUUAUUCGCCAAAUUAAACAGUCCUAAUAUUACCACUUAUACUUUGUGGCUUAUAACACUACUGAGUCCUACUAGUACAUAUAUUAGAGUUGAGUGGGAGCCAAGCUACAAGCUUUAUUGGCAAAGCUCAAUCGGAAAAGCUUUGGCCUAUGGCUCCAACUAAACUUGUCCUGCCCUCUUUUCCUAUACCUUGAAGUCCACCUUAAGAGGAAGAUAUUUAUUUAUUUAUUUUUUUAAGAGGAAGAUAUUUAAACCAACAGAUGCAAGAAUUGCGAAUGACCUAUGAACAGUGGGUAUUAUGUGUAAGUGAUGAAUCACUAAAUUAUACUCCUGAAACCAAUAUUACACUAUAUGUUAACUAAAAUUUAAAUAAAUGUUUGGAAGAAAAAAAGAGCCCUACAUGACUUCCACACCAUGUUAUACAGAGAAACCAAGAUUCUAAGAGAGCCUGAUGGGCCUGCCCUGGACUCUUGACUCAGUUUUGCUUACCAUAGGUGGAGGAAUGGAAACAUGUUCCGACUGGGCCUAUCAGGGUCUGAAAUAGAGCCCCAGAAGGGACUGAACCACACGUCUCCAGGAUUCUUCUCCCAGUGUCAUCAAUUGGAGAGAGGAGUCAAGCCUCCAUGGGAAUUCACACAGAGAAACUAAGCAACAGCGGAAGGUGCCCUGCUCCAGCUGCAGGGACUCAGCCAGAAAGACUGGAAUACUACAUGACUCUACCUGCAAGUUGGGGAAGGAGAAUUCAACACUAUUUGAGUAUUGAGUUGCAUUAAAUGUUUACUUAUACAUAGUAUUUUUGCUGUAUAAUAGCAUCAUGCAUUUUCUUCCAUCAAUGUUUUCUUCUCUCAUUCUUUCACUUGUUUUUGUAACUACAAGCUGUGUUGGAAUUUGCGCUUCUUUACAGGUUGGAACCAGUUUGAGAAAGGGGAGACAGAAGGCAAUUUAAAUGUAUAUUAUCAUCCAAAUGAUAGGGUUCCCUAGU
rnacentral:lncRNA from 1 species